GUUCCGGGACAUUAGAUAAAAUUGAAAUAAUAUGGAGAAGAUUAGGCUGACCCUUAUUCAAGGAUGAUACCUCAUUUCUUCUAGUGUAUAGAUCUUUA